GGCGCUUUGAUAUUAUCAACUUUGAAAGCGAAACAGCGUUUUCUACCCAUAACGUAGUUUAAUAAAAAUUUAUAUAUCAUAUAAAUUGUAGUUCUAAACAUAUUUAUAAAAAGAAAAUACUUUGGACAGGGUCAGAGACCAGCUUAAAUCUUCGUGGACUUGCUACUUGUUUGUAUGUAGCCCUUAUAUUAAAUAUACUAGUUGUAGCAGUUGCUGAUGAGACUGAUGACUGUAAAAUUAUCAAAGAAAAAAACCCAGAAAUAAAUAAGAGAGAAAAGGAAUUACUGGAUCGCCUUCGCCCACUGAAGGGAAUCAUGUAUGUCAGAUUUUCAGUUUAUGUAAAGUUACAG